GUUGUUUUAAUUUGUAAUUUUGGAAGAAGGGUUUCCACCUUAAAUAGAACGGACUGAGAAGAGGAAGGGCUUUUUGCCAGAAUCAACGCAUAACUACGUUUCUUUGUUUGGAAAUUUGAAAUCAGCGUCUUGCGAGUUAAGAGCAGAUCCACAUUUUGUUGAAGUUUAAAGUUUGUUGAGUGAAGUUUGUUUAUUUCGCUUCGGCGAGUUACCGCAGUAGUUUGGAUUUGUGUAGAGGCCAGCAGUUUUUGGAAGUUUAGAGUUUCCGUUUUACGGAGUGGAAAGCCGAGUUUGCGGCAGUUUUUGGAAGUUUAGACCUUCAGAAAAGUGCGUCACUAAGGUGUGUCGGCGCCGACUUGAGUGUUGUUUUGUGUAAAUUUGAAUUUUGUUGUUUUUUUUGUGUGUAACGUACUGGGAUUAGCAGUUUUGGACAUGUACCGAAUGCCCUCAACAGGCUUGCGUUCAAUUACAGAGUGACCCGCAUAAUGCAUGGGGACAGCGCAUGCGCACUCUCUUACAUCGAUGCGUACAGCACGAGCAGCUGGUACGCAGUGUCCUUUCGCCGUUCUAUUUAUCAUUUAGUAAGGAGAUAUUGCAUUAGGGUAAAAAAUUACCCCCACUUUUUUUACGGAAUCCGAAUCAAACAACACCUCGAUGAUCGGUCGAUCGGUCCGUCUGUACUCUCAUUUCCGGCUAAACGGCUGAACCGAUUGGAACCAAAUUUGGGACACAUAUUCUUAGACAUAAAAGGGC